rnacentral:rRNA from 1 species
GCCAGCAGCCAUGUCACCCUGCAGCUUACUAGCUAAGCAGGUGUGAGCCUGGUCAGUACCUGGAUGGGAGACCUCCUGGGAAAAACUAAGGUCACUGCUGGAA